ACAACUGAUAUGGUGUUGUUCAAAUGAAGGGGUAACGCCCUGAAGGGACACACGUAAACUCCCUACAGCGUGAUAGUUGUGCAAAAGCUAUCGGGUUGUCAAAAGUUAGGGUGAAGAGCAAAAAGCAGGUCCUAACAGGUAAGGCUGAGGAAAGAUUCACAGAGGUGUGGGUUGCCUGUGAUU
rnacentral:ncRNA from 1 species